rnacentral:rRNA from 1 species
GAGGUAGGCGGAAUGCGUUGUGUAGCGGUGAAAUGCAUAGAUAUGACGCAGAACUCCGAUUGCGAAGGCAGCUUACCAACACUUUACGGACGCUGAGGCACGAAAGCGUGGGUAUCGAACAGGAUUAGAUACCCUGGUAGUCCACGCAGUAAACGAUGAAUACUAAUUGUUCGGGGGGCAACCCCUGAGUGAUACAGCGAAAGCGUUAAGUAUUCCACCUGGGGAGUACGCCGGCAACGGUGAAACUCAAAGGAAUUGACGGGGGCCCGCACAAGCGGAGGGACAUGUGGUUUAAUUCGAUGAUACGCGAGGAACCUUACCCGGGCUCAAACGUUGGGGGAAUGACGGUGAAAGCCGUCAGCCAGCAAUGGUCGCCAACGAGGUGCUGCAUGGUUGUCGUCAGCUCGUGCCGUGAGGUGUCGGCUUAAGUGCCAUAACGAGCGCAACCCCUGCGUCCAGUUACCAUCAAGUCAUGUUGGGGACUCUGGACGGACUGCCGGCGCAAGCCGUGAGGAAGGCGGGGAUGACGUCAAAUCAGCACGGCCCUUACGUCCGGGGCGACACACGUGUUACAAUGGCGUGGAACAGCGGGAAGCCACCUGGCGACAGGGAGCGGACCCCUAAAACACGUCUCAGUUCGGAUUGGAGUCUGCAACUCGACUCCAUGAAGCUGGAUUCGCUAGUAAUCGCGCAUCAGCCAUGGCGCGGUGAAUACGUUCCCGGGCCUUGUACACACCGCCCGUCAAGCCAUGAAAGCCGGGGGUACCUGAAGUGCGUAACCGCAAGGAGCGCCCUAGGGUAAAACUGGUGAUUGGGGCUAAGUCGUAACAAGGUAACCA